UACGUAGGGUGCAAGCGUUGUCCGGAAUUAUUGGGCGUAAAGAGCUCGUAGGCGGUUUGUCGCGUCUGCUGUGAAAACGCGAGGCUCAACCUCGCGCCUGCAGUGGGUACGGGCAGACUAGAGUGCGGUAGGGGAGAUUGGAAUUCCUGGUGUAGCGGUGGAAUGCGCAGAUAUCAGGAGGAACACCGAUGGCGAAGGCAGAUCUCUGGGCCGUAACUGACGCUGAGGAGCGAAAGCGUGGGGAUCAAACAGGA
rnacentral:rRNA from 1 species